UUGGUGGUCAAGCUACUAAGGGCGCAUGGGGGAUGUCUUGGCGUUGGAAGGCGAUGAAGGGCGUGGAAGUCUGCGAAAAGCCCUGGGGGAGCUGACAAACGAGCGUCGAUCCCGGGAUUCCCGAAUCAUCCCGCACUGAAUCCAUAGGUGCGCGGAAGCGAACCCGGUGAACUGAAACAUCUAAGUAACCGGAGGAGAAGAAAGAAAAAUCGAUUCCCUGAGUAGCGGCGAGCGAAAGGGGACUAUGCCCAAACCGUUGGGGUUUUCCCCGACGGGGUUGUAGGGUCCUUCAUAUGGGAGUUAUCAAGCAGUCGACUAGUCGAACAGGCAGGAAAGCCUGGCCACAGAGGGUGACAGCCCCGUAGGCGAAAGUCGUACUGCCUCCCGAGGGAUACCUGAGUAGGUCGGGUCACGUGGAACCCCGACUGAAUCGACGGGGCCCAUCCCGUAAGGCUAAAUACUCUCCAACGACCGAUAGUGAACUCAGUAUGGCGACUGAAAGAUGGGAAGAACCCCGGUGAGGGGAGGAUAUGUGAACCUGAAACCAUGCGCUUACAAGCGGUCGGAGCACUGUGGCCUUGUGCCCGUGUGACGGCGUGCCUUUUGCAUAAUGAUCCGGCGAGUUACCGUCAGUGGCUUGGUUAAGGUCCUCCGGACUGAAGCCGCAGGGAAACCGAGUCUGAAUAGGGCGAUUUGUCACUGGUGGUAGACGCGAAACUGCGUGAACUACCCAUGAGCAGGUUGAAGCGCGGGUUAUACUGCGUGGAGGACCGAACCCACUUGGGUUGAAAACCGAGGGGAUGACUUGUGGGGAGGAGUGAAAGUCUAAUCAAACGCAGAGAUAGCUCGUUCUCUCCGAAAUAUAUUUAGGUAUAGCCUCGAGCCACUACGCACCGGGGGUAGAGAUACUGAAUUGGAAUGGGGGGUUUCCAGCCUACUCAUCCGAACCAAACUCCGAAUACCGGUGCGACUAUCUCGGGAGACAGUCCGUGAGGGAUAAGCUUCGCGGACGAGAGGGAAACAACCCAGAUCAUCGGCUAAGGUCCCCAAUGAAUGCUUAGUCACUAAGGAAGUUGAGUUGCUGAGACAGCCAGGAUGUUGGCUUAGAAGCAGCCACCAUUUAAAAAGUGCGUAACAGCUUACUGGUCGAGCAAUUCUGCGCCGAUAAUGAUCGGGAGUAAGCAUUCAACCGAAGCCGUGGGCCGGCUCUACCCUUCGGGGUGGGUCGGCGGUAGGAGAGCGCUGCACGUCAGAUACAAGCCGUACCGAAAGGAGCGGUGUCGGGGCGUGCAGGUGAUUAUGCCGGAAUGAGUAACGAUAAAGCAGGUGAGAAUCCUGCUCGCCGAAAGCCUAAGGUUUCCUGGGGAAGGUAAAUCCGCCCAGGGUUAGCCGGUUCCUUAGUCGAGGCCGAAAGGCGUAGACGAUGGGUGGCAGGUUAAUAUUCCUGCGCCACCGCGCGGACCGAUGGAGGGACGGCAUCCGAAUGGGGAGCGUUCGACAGUUAGAACUGUCCGUUGCCGCGGACGAGGCGGCGGGAUUGGAAAAUCCGCCCGCGUAAACCAAGUCCGUUGGCUAAGGGCGUUUGUUCCCGAUGUCUCCGGAAGGAUGUCCAAGAAAAGCUUCUAAGGGUUGAAGCGCGUGUGACCGUACUAAAACUGACACAGGUAGGCGAGACGAGAAGUCUAAGGCGCUCGGGAGAACGGUGGUUAAGGAACUCUGCAAAUUGACCCCGUAAGUUCGCGAUAAGGGGUGCCCUUGGGGUUGAAAGGCCCUGGGGGCCACAGUAAAUCGGCUCUUGCGACUGUUUAUCAAAAACACAGGUCUCUGCCAACUCGUAAGAGGAUGUAUAGAGACUGACGCCUGCCCGGUGCCGGUAGGUUAAGGAAGGAGGUUAGCCGCUUCGGCGGUGAAGCUUGCGACCGAAGCCCCGGUAAACGGCGGCCGUAACUAUGACGGUCCUAAGGUAGCGAAGUUCCUUGUCGGGUAAGUUCCGACCUGCAUGAAAGGCGUAACGACAGGAGCACUGUCUCAACCACCGACCCGGUGAAAUUGUAGCCGUGGUGAAGAUGCCACGUACCCGCGGUUAGACGGAAAGACCCCGUGAACCUUUACUGUAGGCUGAUAUUGGGCUGAGGUAUGGCUUGUGUAGGAUAGGUGGGAGGCUGUGAGACAGGAGCGCCAGCUCUUGUGGAGCCAACGUUGAAAUACCACCCUGGUUAUGCUUUAGUUCUAACUUCGUUCCAUGAAUCUGGGCGAAGGACAGUGUCAGUUGGGCAGUUUGACUGGGGCGGUCUCCUCCAAAAAGGUAACGGAGGAGUGCAAAGGUACCCUCAGCCUGGUUGGCAAUCAGGCAUCGAGCGCAAAGGUAGAAGGGUGCUUAACUGCGAGACUCAUCAGUCGAGCAGAUACGAAAGUAGGUCUUAGUGAUCCUGUGGUCCCGUAUGGAAGGGCCAUAGCUCAUCAGAUAAAAGGUACUCCGGGGAUAACAGGCUUAUCGCCUCCGAGCGUCCAUAGCGGCGAGGCGGUUUGGCACCUCGAUGUCGGCUCAUCACAUCCUGGGGGUGAAGAAGCUCCCAAGGGUUUGGCUGUUCGCCAAUGAAAGUGGUACGUGAGCUGGGUUCAGACCGUCGUGAGACAGGUCGGUCCCUAUCUGCCGUGGGCGUACGAAACUUGAGGGGAUUCUUCUUUAGUACGAGAGGAUUUAGAAGGACGUAGCUCUGGUGUACCAGUUGUCGCGCUAGCGGCACGGCUGGAUAGCUAACUACGGAAAGGAUAAACGCUGAAAGCAUCUAAGCGUGAAGCCCGCCCCGAGAUUAGGUUUCGAUUAGCAUGGCUAUGAAGCCCCCUGGAAGACGACCAGGUUGAUAGGCCGGAUGUGUAAGCGCAGCAAUGCGUUCAGCUAACCGGUACUAAAGGGCGACCGCUUGGCCAU
rnacentral:rRNA from 1 species